UGAUUUCCGCCUGUUUAUCAAAAACAUGUCCUCUUGUUUAUAUUUUGAGGUCUGGCCUGCUCACUGAGCGUAUUUUUAAAGAGCCGCGGUAUUUUGACCGUGCAAAGGUAGCAUUAUCAUUAGUCUCUUAAUUAGUGGCUGGAAUGAAUGGCUUGACGAGAAAUCAACUGUCUAUUAAUAAAUUUUUGAAUUUAACUUUUGAGUCAAAAGGCUUAAAUUCUUCUUUAGGACGAGAAGACCCUAUAGAGCUUGACAUUUUACUUUUAUAUAGUUUUUUGUCUGUCUUUCUAUAUUUAAUGAUGAUGUUUUGUUGGGGUGACAUGAAGAAUAGAUAAACUCUUCAUUAUUAUAUCAUUUAUUUAUGUUUGUUAUUUUGAUCCAUAAUUUAUGAUCAUAAGAUUAAGUUACCUUAGGGAUAACAGCGUAAUUGUUUUUGAGAGCUCAUAUCGACAAAGCAGAUUGCGACCUCGAUGUUGGAUUAAGAAAAAUUUUGGGUGCAGGAGCCCAAUGAUUAGGUCUGUUCGACCUUUAAAUUCUUACAUGAUCUGAGUUCAGACCGGCGUGAGCCAGGUCGGUUUCUAUCCUAAGAUUGUUAAUCGAUAUUAGUACGAAAGGACCAUAUGGUUAAAAUAUUUUGUGUUAUAUUGAUUAAUAUUAAUUUAUUUA